AACGCUAGCUACAGGCUUAACACAUGCAAGUCGAGGGGCAGCGCAGUGUAGCAAUACAUGGGCGGCGACCGGCGCACGGGUGCGUAACGCGUAUCCAACCUUCCCGUUACUCAGGGAUAGCCUUCCGAAAGGGAGAUUAAUGCCUGAUGGUGUUCAAAUUCCGCAUGUUAUUUGAACUAAAGAUUUAUCGGUAACGGAUGGGGAUGCGUGACAUUAGAUAGUAGGCGGGGUAACGGCCCACCUAGUCUACGAUGUCUAGGGGUUCUGAGAGGAAGGUCCCCCACACUGGAACUGAGACACGGUCCAGACUCCUACGGGAGGCAGCAGUGAGGAAUAUUGGUCAAUGGUCGGAAGACUGAACCAGCCAAGUAGCGUGAAGGAUGAAGGUUCUAUGGAUUGUAAACUUCUUUUAUACGGGAAUAAAACCACCUACGUGUAGGUGCUUGUAUGUACCGUAUGAAUAAGCAUCGGCUAACUCCGUGCCAGCAGCCGCGGUAAUACGGAGGAUGCGAGCGUUAUCCGGAUUUAUUGGGUUUAAAGGGAGCGUAGACGGGAUGUUAAUUCAGUUGUGAAAGGCUGCGGCUCAACCGCAGCACUGCAGUUGAUACUGGCGUCCUUGAGUGCGGUUGAGGUGUAUGGAAUUCGUGGUGUAGCGGUGAAAUGCUUAGAUAUCACNAAGAACUCCGAUUG
rnacentral:rRNA from 1 species